rnacentral:rRNA from 1 species
UGGCGGACGGGUGAGUAACGCGUGGGUAACCUGCCUCAUACAGGGGGAUAACGGUUAGAAAUGACUGCUAAUACCGCAUAAGCGCACAGUACCGCAUGGUACGGUGUGAAAAACUCCGGUGGUAUGAGAUGGACCCGCGUCUGAUUAGCUAGUUGGUGGGGUAACGGCCCACCAAGGCGACGAUCAGUAGCCGACCUGAGAGGGUGACCGGCCACAUUGGGACUGAGACACGGCCCAG